UUGUACUUGGAUAUGCUGUUUUUCAGCAUUAGGUCUGCAUCAGAGCAAACUCCAGUGGAUAACUAAGAUCCAGACUGCCCAUUAAUCCAAGAAGGAAGGAUCAGCGAAUGGGAAUAUGAGGCCGCUAUCUUAAAACACGUUCAGAAUCCUCACCUCCAGUGCAUUUACAUUUCUUUCCAGUGUUAACAGUUUGAUAAUAAAGAGUACAUCACAUGA